UACGAAGGGGGCUAGCGUUGUUCGGAAUUACUGGGCGUAAAGCGCACGUAGGCGGGUUGUUAAGUCAGGGGUGAAAUCCUGGAGCUCAACUCCAGAACUGCCUUUGAUACUGGCAACCUAGAGACUGGAAGAGGUUAGUGGAAUUCCCAGUGUAGAGGUGAAAUUCGUAGAUAUUGGGAAGAACACCGAUGGCGAAGGCAGCCAUCUGGACCGACACUGACGCUGAGGCGCGAAAGCGUGGGGAGCAAACAGG
rnacentral:rRNA from 1 species